rnacentral:tRNA from 1 species
GAAAGAAUAGUUUAUAAAAAACAUUGAUUUUGUAAAUCAGAGAAAUAAUUUUUAUCUU